rnacentral:rRNA from 1 species
GAUGAACGCUGGCGGCGUGCCUAACACAUGCAAGUCGAGCGGCAGCGAGGGGUGCUUGCACCCUGUCGGCGAGCGGCGGACGGCUGAGUAACGCGUGGGAACGUGCCCCAAAGUGAGGAAUAACUGCCCGAAAGGGUAGCUAAUACCGCAUAUUAUCUUCGGAUCAAAGGAUUUAUCCGCUUUGGGAGCGGCUCGCGUCGGAUUAGGUAGUUGGUGAGGUAAUGGCUCACCAAGCCGACGAUCCGUAGCUGGUCUGAGAGGAUGACCAGCCAGACUGGAACUGAGACACGGUCCAGACUCCUACGGGAGGCAGCAGUGAGGAAUCUUCCACAAUGGGCGAAAGCCUGAUGGAGCAACGCCGCGUGCAGGACGAAGGCCUUCGGGUUGUAAACUGCUUUUAUAAGUGAGGAAUAUGACGGUAACUUAUGAAUAAGGAUCAGCUAACUACGUG